rnacentral:misc_RNA from 1 species
UGGCUCUGGCAUCGAUGAAGAACGCAGCGAAAUGCGAUAAGUAAUGUGAAUUGCAGAAUUCAGUGAAUCAUCGAAUCUUUGAACGCACAUUGCGCCCACCAGUACUCUGGUGGGCAUGCCUGUCCGAGCGUCAUUUCAACCCUCAGGGCCCGUUCGCGGGACCUGGUGCUGGGGAUCGGCCGCCCUUCGCGGCGGCCGGCCCUGAAAUGUAGUGGCGGCUCUACCGCGACCUCCUCUGCGUAGUAGCGAUACCUCGCAGCUGGAUAGCGGCAGCGCCUCGCCGUAAAACCCCCCAACUCUUCAAGGUUGACCUCGGAUCAGGUAGGAAUACCCGCUGA